CUAUUGCUUAAAGAUCUUAUGAAGGAUAAGAUUGAUGGUGCAUGCAUUCAGGAAACCCACUUCAAAAAAGGGUACACCCCCAAGAUCUUGAAUAAACACUUUCCCACGCAAUGCCAUGCUUUGUCAGAUAGUAAAACCAAAGGUGUGUCCAUAUUUAUACACAAGAUGUCGCUUUCACAAUGUAGAGGCACUAUUUCGACCCAUGAAGUAGAGUCAGAAU